UAUUUCCGUACCGCUAGAGAAUAGAAACUCUCGACGGAACGUAAAGCAUGUUUUUCGCGAGACACACCGACUCGUAUAUUAUAAUUUAUGUGCACUUUGAACAACUAUAUUGGGUAGUAUAGUAGAAGUGAAUAAAAAGAGCGCGUGAAAAUUCGCCGCGAAGAAAAACAUCUUUUACAUCUUAUUGUCAUACGAGCAAAACGACAGUGAUUAUUCAAGUUUGGUUUUUUUUUCAUUGUAAUUGCCAAC